ACACGUUUGAAAAAUUAAAUGCAACUCCUCAUUUGUAAGUUAGGAACAGGAGUGAAGUUCUACUUUUUCUGUCCAUUCCUUAAUGAUGGAAAGUUGGAUUUAUGUGAGAAAGGAUGACAUCUUAUAGUCCUACUGUGCAGUUUUUGGUGGGUAUGCAUGGCACAAAAUGCUUGAAGCACUGGCUGUGUAAAUGCAUCCCAGGAUUUACCCCCCUAACUUUCAUCAGUUUUAGAUUUAUUGGUAAUGAAAACAAAAUGUAGGGAACGCAUUCCACAACAGUGCAAGUAUAAUGUUUGUCCCCGAAACUCGGUUUAAUGUUUACAGUAAUGUCCAGGCAUCUGAACCCAAACAAUGAACCUUUUCUUUAAUCUUUUUUAAUUAUAUUUGCAAGCCGAGGAGCUCAAGUGCUGAAAAAACAAAUUCAGUCAGUUUAUACAGGGUAUAAAUCGACAACACCAAGUCCAAAGGAGAGCAGCAGUUUGUCCAAACAAUUGACGAUACAAAUGGGGUCUUCAAAAAUAAAGUCCUCUCCACCCUAUGGAUUCAUUUAUUAAUUCAUCACAGGCAAGUGCACAUUAAACUCUAAUGGAGAUGCUCAGCAAUUUGACAGAAAUAGUUCUAGCUUGGACGUCCCAUCCAUGACUUGACCAGCUGACCAGGAGCCCAGUUGUAAGGACAAUGACAGAGGGCAUACCUAAAGUAGGACCAGUAUCUUGACCUAUGACAAUGGGGGGUUAAAAAAACAACAAAA